UGGCUCAGUUGGUAGAGCAUGGCACUUGCAACGCUAGGUUUGUGGGUUUGAUUCCCAU
rnacentral:tRNA from 1 species